GAUGAACGCUGGCGGCGUGCUUAACACAUGCAAGUCGAACGAAGCGGCUUUACGGAAGUUUUCGGAUGGAAGUGAGGUUGACUGAGUGGCGGACGGGUGAGUAACGCGUGGGUAACCUGCCUCAUACAGGGGGAUAACAGUUAGAAAUGACUGCUAAUACCGCAUAAGCGCACAGUACCGCAUGGUACAGUGUGAAAACCUCCGGUGGUAUGGGAUGGACCCGCGUCUGAUUAGCUAGUUGGUGAGGUAACGGCCCACCAAGGCGACGAUCAGUAGCCGACCUGAGAGGGGGACCGGCCACAUUGGGACUGAGACACGGCCCAAACUCCUACGGGAGGCAGCAGUGGGGAAUAUUGCACAAUGGGCGAAAGCCUGAUGCAGCGACGCCGCGUGAGCGAAGAAGUAUUUCGGUAUGUAAAGCUCUAUCAGCAGGGAAGAUAAUGACGGUACCUGACUAAGAAGCCCCGGCUAACUACGUGCCAGCCGCCGCCGUAAGAC
rnacentral:rRNA from 1 species